CCCCCGCUAGCUCAGUUGGCAGAGCACCCGGCUCUUAACCGGGGUGUCGCAGGUUCGAGCCCUGCGCGGGGGA
rnacentral:tRNA from 1 species